rnacentral:rRNA from 1 species
AACGAACGCUGGCGGCAUGCCUAACACAUGCAAGUCGAACGAGACCUUCGGGUCUAGUGGCGCACGGGUGCGUAACGCGUGGGAACCUGCCCUUAGGUUUGGAAUACCUCCCCGAAAGGGGUGCUAAUACCGGAUCAUGUCUUCGGACCAAAGAUUUAUCGCCUUUGGAUGGGCCCGCGUUGGAUUAGCUAGUUGGUAGGGUAAAAGCCUCCCACGGCGACGAUCCAUAGCUGGUCUGUGAGGAUGGUCAGCCACACUGGGACUGAGACACGGCCCAGACUCCUACGGGAGGCAGCAGUGGGGAAUAUUGGACAAUGGGCGGAGGCCUGAUCCAGCAAUGCCGCGAGAGUGAUGAAGGCCGUAGGGUUGUAAAGCUCUUUUACCCGGGAUGAUAAUGACGGUACCGGGAGAAUAAGCUCCGGCUAACUCCGUG